rnacentral:rRNA from 1 species
AUUGAGCUUAUAAUUUUAUUGCUACUAGAUUAUUAUUAGUGUAGUGGUGUAUAAAUUUUAAUUGGGGUGAUUAAGGAAUAAAAUUUAAUUUAGUAACUUCCUUAAGUUUUAUAUUGUUAAAUAAAGUAACCAAUGAAUUAUUGCUUAUAAUAU